rnacentral:rRNA from 1 species
CCCUUAGAUGUUCUGGGCCGCACGCGUGCUACACUGACGCAUACAGCGAGUACUUCCCCGGCUCCGUGAGGCAGCCGGUAAUCAGCAAUAUGCGUCGUGAUGGGGAUAGAUCUUUGGAAUUCUGGAUCUUGAACGAGGAAUGCCUAGUAAGCGCAAGUCAUUAGCUUGCGCUGACUAAGUCCCUGCCCUUUGUACACACCGCCCGUCGCUCCUACCGAUUUCGAGUGAUCCGGUGAACCUUUUGGACCGCUGGCACCUCGUGUGCUGCGCGGGAAAUCAAGUAAACCAUAUCACUUAGAGGAAGGAGAAGUCAUAACA